rnacentral:rRNA from 1 species
GUAAGGAAUAUUGCUCAAUGGGAGAAAUCCUGAAGCAGCAACGCCGCGUGGAGGAUGAAGGGUCUAUGACUUGUAAACCCCUGUAAAGAAGGAAAAAAUUCCCAUUUGAUGGGAGAUGAUGGUACUUCUGGAGUAAGCCCCGGCUAACUACGUGCCAGCAGCCGCGGUAAUACGUAGGGGGCAAGCGUUGUCCGGAUUUACUGGGUGUAAAGGGUGCUCAGGCGGAUUUGUAAGUCAGAGGUGAAAUCUUACAGCUUAACUGUGAAACUGCCUUUGAUACUGCAAGCCUAGAGUAUGGAAGAGAGUGAUGGAAUAUCUGGUGUAGCAGUGAAAUGCGUAGAUAUCAGAUAGAACACCAAUGGCGAAGGCAGUCACUUGGUCCAUUACUGACGCUAAAGCACGAAAGCGUGGGUAGCAAACA